UAUAUAUAUAUAAACCUUUUUUUUCUCUCUCUAUUUCUUAUCUCUCUAUCCAGAUAGUCUCCCUCCCUGCGGGUAUCUAAACGAUACUUUGAUGUUGAAGUCAUGUUGUACUCCAAUUUGUAAAUGUUGCACUAUUUGCAACAUUUCCUUCUGUAAGAUGUUUUUUAACAUAUUAAAAUAUUUCGUGUUUUGUUAUAAAUGUGGUGGUACGGUGAUUUGGUUUGGUACGAUAAGGAUAAUAAAGAUUGUUAUAGCACAAAAUAGAGGAAAAGGGAAGGAAAAUGAGGGAAAAUUAAUGAUUCGAAAUGUUAAAAUUCUUAUCAGUUAAUGUCCAAGGACUUAACUCCCCAAAUAAAAGAGCUUAUUUAUAUAAUACUCUACUUAAAGAAAAAGCCCAAAUAUCGUUUAUUCAGGAAACCCGUUGGAAGAAACAAAGCAAACAGCAUUGGAACGUUAAUAAGUUCCCUAUUGUAGCUGAAGCAUCGGAUCAAACAAAAAAGAAGAAAGGAGUAGCAAUAAUGUUUUCUAACUCGAUGAAUUACUCUUGUGAUUAUAUUGAAAGUGAUUUAGAAG